rnacentral:rRNA from 1 species
UACGUAGGAGGCGAGCGUUGUCCGGAAUUACUGGGCGUAAAGCGCGCGCAGGCGGCCCGCGAGGUGUCACGUGAAAGCCCCGGGCUCAACCCGGGAGGGUCGUGGCAAACCGGCGGGCUUGAGGCCGGUAGAGGUGGGUGGAACUCCUGGUGGAGUGGUGAAAUGCGUAGAGAUCAGGAAGAACACCCGUGGCGAAGGCGGCCCACUGGGCCGGUACUGACGCUGAGGCGCGAAGGCGUGGGGAGCGAACGGG